CCUACGGGCGGCUGCAGUGGGGAAUAUUGGACAAUGGGCGAAAGCCUGAUCCAGCCAUGCCGCGUGUGUGAAGAAGGCCUUCGGGUUGUAAAGCACUUUCAGUGGGGAAGAAAGCCUUGGGGCUAAUACCCUCGAGGAAGGACAUCACCCACAGAAGAAGCACCGGCUAACUCCGUGCCAGCAGCCGCGGUAAUACGGAGGGUGCGAGCGUUAAUCGGAAUUACUGGGCGUAAAGCGCGCGUAGGCGGUCUGAUAAGCCGGUUGUGAAAGCCCCGGGCUCAACCUGGGAACGGCAUCCGGAACUGUCAGGCUAGAGUGCAGGAGAGGAAGGUAGAAUUCCCGGUGUAGCGGUGAAAUGCGUAGAGAUCGGGAGGAAUACCAGUGGCGAAGGCGGCCUUCUGGACUGACACUGACGCUGAGGUGCGAAAGCGUGGGUAGCAAACAGGAUUAGAUACCCGAGUAGAC
rnacentral:rRNA from 1 species